AACGAACGCUGGCGGCAGGCUUAACACAUGCAAGUCGAGCGCCCCGCAAGGGGAGCGGCAGCCGGGUGAGUAACGCGUGGGAACGUACCUUUUGGUUCGGAACAACUCCGGGAAACUGGAGCUAAUACCGGAUAAGCCCUAACGGGGAAAGAUUUAUCGCCGAAAGAUCGGCCCGCGUCUGAUUAGCUAGUUGGUGAGGAAACGGCUCACCAAGGCGACGAUCAGUAGCUGGUCUGAGAGGAUGAUCAGCCACACUGGGACUGAGACACGGCCCAGACUCCUACGGGAGGCAGCAGUGGGGAAUAUUGGACAAUGGGCGCAAGCCUGAUCCAGCCAUGCCGCGUGAGUGAUGAAGGCCUUAGGGUUGUAAAGCUCUUUUGUCCGGGAAGAUAAUGACUGUACCGGAAGAAUAAGCCCCGGCUAACUUCGUG
rnacentral:rRNA from 1 species